CCUUCGGCUCUUUUAGGUAUUUUGCUCAGGAUUUGAGACACGUUUUCUCUCCCUCAGAGGAGCGCCUGUUGAAGAAUCAUGACCUCUAUUGAGCAUUUACCUGGUCACGGACAUUUUGCUGAAGAAUUCACAAGUUCAUAUAAGGACACGCUUCAUCUCAAGUGUCCAGUUCAAUGAGUUCUGACAGAUACGGACAGUCUUGUGACUCCAGAUCUCAAUGUAGGACGUUCUGGUCACCACGGGCUCCUGGAUGCCUCUUCCUAGGAGCAGAAGCCACAGUGCUUUAUGGAAGAUGAAAGGCAGGAGAAAGGUCUCUUCUUUAGAGAAGAGGAAGGGAAAGAGACCCAUCCUGUCCCUCUGACGGCAGGGCCUUCGGAGAGCAGCCCUGGGCUCGGGCUGUGGGCGGAAGGGCCAGUGGAGUCCAGAGAGGAUGCCUCCUGAACACCGACGGGCUGUGAGGACUCCACAUGCGUCUCCCUGAGCCACUGCAGCUCCCCGCGGGGCCGGCACCGAUGUAAACCCAUUUUGAGGGCAAGCACAUGGAUUCUCAGAGAAGCUGAAUCACUCGCUCCAGGGCAUGCGGCCACUGGGGCUGAGAGCCAGGGCACGGCCACUAGCACGUUUGAAGUCACAUACAGGGUAGCGCCGGCCUGGACAGAGGUGGACAUCUGACAAGCAGGCCAAUGAGGAUGACAUCUCGGACGGUAGUCACGGCUACGACGAAAGUCAGUGCCCCACCUUGCCCAGCCGCAGGGUGGACCCUAAGCGGCUCGCCCCACCCAGCCCGUCCUGCCUGCUCUGUCCCUCCCAACCCUGCAAUGGGCAGAUUUCUGGGGGGUAGUCUCUGACCCACUGUGGCCCAGGUACAGAACCCCACCUUCAAGUCUCUGGGCCUCAGUUUUCUCAUCUGUGUGUUGGGGACAAAGACGCCGCCCGGCCAUCUCACCAGGCUGCCGAGCAGCGCGGAAGAGCUCUGGCUGUGAGGUCAGAGGCCCUUUGUUUGAAAGGUCCAGGCCCAUAGGGGUGCAUGGGUUGUGGUCUUGGGUGAUAUUAGAAAAGCUAAGUCCUCUCUCCUGGGCAGAUGACACCAGAGGGAGGGUGGGAAGGUGGUGGAGAGGCCGGUGGCCUGGUGUGGGCUGUCAUAGCAAAGUGCCGCAGACCAGGUGGCCAAAACAGUGGAAAUCCGUUGUCACUGGGCUGUGCGGGUGAAGGAGCCACGUGGAGGUGUGCAGGAGGUGGAACACUUAGGACCCUUUCCCGUGGGCAGAGACCCAGUGCCCGGGGAGGCCUGGCUGGGUCGUACCCCCAGGCUCACCCUGGCUCAGGACACCGGCACCCAGAAUCCUUGGGCCACUCCGAGCCCAGAGGCACCCAGGCCCUCCUUGAGCUACAUGCAGCUUUAAAACACACAUGUCCUUUGACCUCCUCCCACCCAGGGGGUUUCUGUGCUCUCUCCCCUUGAAUCUGGCGGCCUCCACCCCGCCCCGACCCCACACAAAUGAAUGAGCGUCCCCAGCCUUCUCAGCCCUGAGCACCAUCGCGGAUGGCAUUGCGGGCGCUUCUCCACCGUCUGCGUCAGCCCCUGACAGACGGUCCCAGUGGGACUGUGUCCCUAUUACCUGUGUGUCCCCAUCCCCUGAGUGGACCCGGCCGACUCAGUGCCAUGUGUACGAUGGGUGAAGGAUGAAUUUGAGAAACAUUUCAGAUACAUUACACUUGACGCCAUGUUAGCUCCACUUUCACCUUUUUUGGUUCUUAAUAUUCCAGAAGCCCCAGUAAGAUAGAAAAGUCUUGGGCCCCGGGUCUGGGGAGGCACCCAGAGCCCUUCACGGUUUCUUGUCUGUCCUCGGAGAGGCGCUGAGCUCCGGGGGCGCAUCCAGCUCCCAGUGAAUUCUGGCGGCCACUGAGGAAGCUUCUGCUGAGAGAAUUAGGGAAAGGACCCCCCCAGGAGGGUCUUUGCUGGAGCAGAGGCCCCGCAUCACCACCUGCUGCCCAUCCAUCCUGGCCAGCGGCUCCCAUACCCACUCCUGCCGCUGGGGGCUGACUGUGGCCCCAACCCUUUUUUCCAUGGAAGCUGCCCUUUGGUUUAUGGUUGCUUCUUGUUUCUGGAACCUUUGUACCAGGAUCCCUGCCCCUGUGUGUGGCAGAAGUCUCCAAGGUCAUUCACCCUGGCCAUGCUGCCUGGGGCUCCGGGACCGGCCACUCUUUCCUGACCAUGUGGCUGUUCUUCACCAUCCUGCCUGGCGGCUUGUCCCGCGGGCUGGCAGGGUCUUCAGGAUAAGGCUGUGGCCCCCUGGGGUAGUUCCUCAGGCCAUGGGGCGGACGCUCAGCAGGCGAGAGCUGUGAGCUGGAUGGUGUGGACCUGACUGUGAGCAGCCACUCUCUGGGCGGGCAGACAUUCCAGGGUGCUGGGCUGUAGCUUCUCCCUCAUCACUAGCGGAGGGCGGCCUGCGGCGGAGGGUCCGGCCUGUGUGGGCUGGGCCCUGCAGUCCCCAUGGCUUCCCAGGCAGCCCCCAACCUCACUCUGGGUGAGACACUGGGGACUGUGCCGAGGGGGCAGGCGGCCUCUAAGUGCACAAGGUGAUGUGCCCCCCCACUUCCAAUGUCCCAGGAGGGCGGAGUGUGCCCGCCUUGUGCUGGGCAGCAGUAUGCAGGGGUGGCCGUGCAGGGCCAGGCAGGCACCAGGUGGACAGUCCUGCAGCGGAACAGGACGCCCCUGCCCGUGAACAUGUACUCCCUCUUCGUCCCAGGACCCCCUCCAUCCUCCUCCCAGGAGCCCCUCUAUUGCCCUUCCAGGUCCCCCCACCCCUCCCAGAACCCCCUCCCUUUCCCUCCCAGGAUGCCCUUAUCCCUCCCAGGCCCUCUUCCUUCCUCCCCCAGGUCCCCUCCCAGAACCCCUUCCCUCCCCACCAGGCCUCCCUCUACCUCCUAGCACACCCUCCCUCCCCUCCUCUCACCUCCGUCAGACCAACGUCCUGGAGAUAGGAAUAGCCACCAUCCCCUGACUCUGAGGAGACGGCUCCCCAUGACCAUCGUGGUGGGGGGUCAAGGGGACAGAGUGCCUUGGCAAGGACCUGGAGACCCCUCGGGUCAGCCCUGAGCCCAGCUGACCUAGAGCAGCCACCAAGGGAGCUGAAGCCAAUGCCUUCCCCCAGGUCAGACGGGGUCCCGCUCCGAGCCUCAGCUGUGGCUCUUCAGCACCCCAGGCCCACCUGCUCCCCACCCCAGCCCCUCCUCCACCUGGGGGAGGCCUGGUGGGGCCCAGGCCUGUGGGGUCCUAUUUGGCCGGUGCCAUCUUGGCAUCAUCCCCCAACACACGGUGGAAUCAGGGGUCACCCCUGGGCCAUGGGGGCCUGGGUGGUGACAUUCUGAUCAGAGCAGGUGGAGGGAGUGCAGGCUGUCCUAGGCCCCCCACCCCGCCCGGGCCUCACAGCCUCCUGAAGGAUGAGCGCAUGCAUCUGGGGAGGGUGGGCCUUUGUGAGGGGAGAGAGAAGGAGAG